rnacentral:lncRNA from 1 species
AAGAUAAAUUAUGUUAUUUAAAUGUGCAAAUUAAAAUUUUUAUAGGAAAUUACUUUUCAUUUCUCAUAUAAUGAAACUUUAAGAACACUUUUGUGUACAAGUAAAUAUCUAAUUUGAGUCUGAAUUUUUAUAGAUCCAGUUUUCUUAAAGACUAACACAACAUGGGAUGUUUUUCUACAGUCAUGCUUCCAACAAAUCUAUGUAAGUAGCAUACUUAGAAAUUUUCUUACCUCUUAGAGAUACUAACCUAUGUUCUAACCUCUUAGAGAU